rnacentral:sRNA from 2 species
CCCUAGCCCCGAUGGGAGGGAAAAUCCUUUUGUGCCGGGGUUCGGCACAAAGAUUGGAAGGACAGCGGGAAUAGCU